CCAUAUUCUUACAGAUUAUAGGAAACGUCCACAGAAUCGCCAUGUAUUCACGCUUCAUAACUAUAACACUUAUUUGCGUUCCGAUCAUUUUGGACUUGAAGAAUUACCCACGGCGGACUUUUUGUUUCUGCCAUUUGUCCACGAUGAUCAUUGGUGGUGUUAUUCAGUGAAGUUGAGGUCAAUGGAGAUUUUUGUGAUUGAUUCAUUGGGGAAGGGGAUCAGAGACCGCAAAAGGAU
rnacentral:sRNA from 1 species